GACGAACGCUGGCGGCGUGCUUAACACAUGCAAGUCGAACGGAAAGGCCCAGCUUGCUGGGUACUCGAGUGGCGAACGGGUGAGUAACACGUGGGUGAUCUGCCCUGAACUUCGGGAUAAGCCUGGGAAACUGGGUCUAAUACCGGAUAUGACCAUUGGUUGCGUGACUUUUGGUGGAAAGCUUUUGCGGUUCAGGAUGGGCCCGCGGCCUAUCAGCUUGUUGGUGAGGUAACGGCUCACCAAGGCGACGACGGGUAGCCGACCUGAGAGGGUGAUCGGCCACACUGGGACUGAGACACGGCCCAGACUCCUACGGGAGGCAGCAGUGGGGAAUAUUGCACAAUGGGCGCAAGCCUGAUGCAGCGACGCCGCGUGGGGGAUGACGGCCUUCGGGUUAUAAACCUCUUUCGGCAGGGACGAAGCGCAAGUGACGGUACCUGCAGAAGAAGCACCGGCCAACUACGUGCCAGCCGCCGCGGUAAGAC
rnacentral:rRNA from 1 species